rnacentral:rRNA from 1 species
CUACGGGUGGCUCCAGUAGGGAAUAUUGGACAAUGGGCGAAGCCUGAUCCAGCAACACCGCGUGCACGAUGACGGCCUUCGGGUUGUAAAGUGCUUUUAGAGGAGAUGAGAAAGGACAGUAUCCUCUGAAUAAGCCUCGGCGAACUACGUGCCAGCAGCCGCGGUAAAACGUAGGAGGCAAGCGUUAUCCGGAUUUAUUGGGCGUAAAGUGCGUGCAGGCGGUCUAGCAAGUUGGAUGUGAAAGCUCCCGGCUCAACUGGGAGAGGUCGUUCAAUACGGUUAGACUAGAGAAUAGGAGAGGGAGGUGGAAUUCCGGGUGUAGUGGUGAAAUGCGUAGAUAUCCGGAGGAACACCAGUGGCGAAAGCGGCCUCCUGGACUAUUUCUGACGCUAAGACGCGAAAGCUAGGGUAGCAAACGGGAUUAGAUACCCUGGUAGUC